rnacentral:misc_RNA from 1 species
CACAUUUGCUACAGUUUGGGUGAAUAUGUAUUUUAUAUUAAAUUACAGAUGCGAGGAGCUAAUAUUCCAAUUCAAUUGUGAAGGGCGACCAGAUUUAUAUCUCUGAACGAUGGCGUACUUUCGUUACUUCUAUGGUAGUAUUCGGUUUCAAAACAGUGUAAAUGUAGGUGUAGGCUGAAGGGUGGUAUGGUGUAGGGCCUGGUGGGUGGAGGUGCUUUAAGGAUACCUUGUAGGUAUAGGAAUUAAGAAAAUGGCGAGGGAUGGCGACAAUUCUAAUGAAGUAUUUUCGAAUAUUAAUGAACGUCCUGUAGAUGAUAUUUCCCUUGAAUUUUUCUAUAAACCUCACACCAUAACGUUGCUUACUGUGUCAAUCGCUGCAGUAAUAUAUUCUGCAUUUACACGAGAUGAACAAGACAUGCAGAAUAACAUAAGAGCAGGGAUCUUGUGUGUUAUAUUCUUUUUCCUCAUAAUUUCCGUUUUGGCAUUCCCAAAUGGACCAUUUACAAGACCUCAUCCAGCUGUGUGGCGGAUGGUAUUUGGAAUGAGUGUGCUCUAUCUCCUUGCUCUACUGUUUAUAUUAUUUCAGAGUUACAAGACUGUAAAAUCAAUAAUUUUAUGGAUUGACCCUUCCUUAAAAGAUUUUCACAUAGACAUGGACAAGGAAUAUGGUGUUAAUUGCACGGAUGUAACAGUCGAGAGAAUAUGGAGUCACAUUGAUGUUUUUGCAGUGGGUCAUUAUUUCGGAUGGAUGUUCAAGGCUAUUCUUGUUAGACACCUUGGCAUUUUGUGGGCUAUUAGUGUUAUGUGGGAAUUUACUGAGAUAGCAUUUGCUCAUCUUCUACCAAACUUUAUUGAAUGCUGGUGGGAUGCUCUAAUAUUAGAUGUACUUGUGUGCAAUGGAUUGGGAAUUUGGUGUGGCUUGAAGAUUUGCAAGUAUCUGGAGAUGAGAGAGUAUAAAUGGGUUAGCAUAAGGGAUAUUCGAACAACUUCAGGGAAAAUAAAGCGUGCAGUUUUACAGUUCACACCUGGGAGUUGGAUGCAAGUUAGAUGGUUGGAUCCAUCUUGUACUUACAUGCGCUUCUUUGCUCUUUGCCAGCUUGUCAUUUUUUGGCAAGUCUCAGAGCUAAACACAUUUUUCCUUAAACACAUUUUUGAAAUGCCACCAUCCCACCCGAUUGUGGUUGUUCGACUUGUUCUUAUUGGUGUCUUUGUUGCACCGUCUGUUAGACAGUAUUAUAGUUACGUUACAAAUCCAUUGUGCAAACGUGUGGGAACACAGUGUUGGGUAUAUGGUGCUAUAAUGGUAACUGAGGCCAUUUUGUGCAUAAAGAAUGGCAAAGAGCUGUUUGAACGCACACAGGCAUUCAAUAUUGUCUUGUGGCUUCUACUGCAGCUGCUAACUUCUAUACUUUGCGUAUAUGGCUGUGUUCUGUGGCAUCGCUACAUACAGAAGGAAGAUGAAAUGUCAAGAGAAUCAUCUCCUUGCAAAACACCAGAUUCUGGGUUUGUUGAUCAGAAGCCUCACACAGAUGGUAUGACAUCAGAAUUAAUAGUUGAUGCCCUAUCACUUUAGAAGAUGCAUCUGCUGUUGAGCUUUGCUGUCAGUAGGUCUAGGAGAUUGUUGCAGUGGUUGACUUCAUGUUUCAUGGCACUACUACAAACUGUCCAAAGUUCCCAUGGGAUUUAAAGAGACGUGCUGUAGUAUCCCGUGAGUCUCAGACGCCUGACACACACAGUCGCGCUUCUUUGUGAAUUAACAGAUCGUC